UGAGUAACGCGUGGGUAACCUGCCCUUAAGUCUGGGAUACCAUUUGGAAACAGAUGCUAAUACCGGAUAAAAGCUACUUUCGCAUGAAAGAAGUUUAAAAGGCGGCGUAAGCUGUCGCUAAAGGAUGGACCUGCGAUGCAUUAGCUAGUUGGUAAGGUAACGGCCUACCAAGGCGAUGAUGCAUAGCCGAGUUGAGAGACUGAUCGGUCACAUUGGGACUGAGACACGGCCCAAACUCCUACGGGAGGCAGCAGUC
rnacentral:rRNA from 1 species